rnacentral:rRNA from 1 species
AUUACGUCCCUGCCCUUUGUACACACCGCCCGUCGCUACUACCGAUUGAAUGGCUUAGUGAGACCCUCGGAUUGGUAUUCGGAAGCUUGACACCGGCAUCUGUUUGCUGGAGAAGUUGGUCAAACUUGGUCAUUUAGAGGAAGUAAAAGUCGUAACAAGGUUUCCGUAGGUGAACCUGCGGAAGGAUCAUUAAUGAUUUUACAUGCGAGUCUAUCGUCACUCGAGGCGUGCGANAAUCGAGGCGUCGCUCUUUUUUUUAGGGUGAUCGCGUCGGAAUUGAGCCGUCUUUCAAAUGUUAAUUCAUGUCAAAGUGGCUUAAAUUCAUCCAUCCGGUACGAUUAAGCGUAUUAAGAUCAAUUUGUUCAGAACGCGCGAUGACGUACCAUCUCAUGUAGUACGUUUGACCUGGGUCAUCAGGUUCAUUCGUAUACGAUACUCAAACUUUUGACCUCAAAUCAGGUAAGAAUACCCGCUGAACUUAAGCAUAUCAAUAAGCGGAGGAAAAGAAAAUAACAAUGAUUCCCUCAGUAACGGCGAGCGAAGAGGGAUAAGCUCAAAUUUUAAAUCUGUUGGGUUUCACUUAACAGAGUUGUAUUUUGAAGAAACGUUUUCUGCAUCCAGGAUUAGCCUAAAUCCUUUGGGAUAAGGUAUCAUGGAGGGUGAGAAUCCCGUUCAUGGUUAAUCUUAAGGAAGCUCUACGAUACGUUUUCCCAGAGUCGAGUUGUUUGGGAUUGCAGCUCAAAAUGGGAGGUAAAUUUCUCCUAAGGCUAAAUAUUGGCGAGAGACCGAUAGCGAACAAGUACCGUGAGGGAAAGA